GACGAACGCUGGCGGCGCGCUUAACACAUGCAAGUCGAGCGAUGAAAUUUCGACAGAUCCCUUCGGGGUGAAGAUGAAAUGGAUUAGCGGCGGACGGGUGAGUAACACGUGAGUAACCUGCCCUUGACAUUGGGAUAGCCUCGGGAAACUGGGAUUAAUACCAAAUGACACUAACUGAUCACAUGAUCAAUUAGUCAAAGAAAUUCGGUCAAAGAUGGACUCGCGGCUGAUUAGCUAGUUGGUGAGGUAACGGCCCACCAAGGCGACGAUCAGUAGCCGGCCUGAGAGGGUGAUCGGCCACAUUGGAACUGAGACACGGUCCAAACUCCUACGGGAGGCAGCAGUGGGGAAUAUUGCACAAUGGGGGAAACCCUGAUGCAGCGACGCCGCGUGAGCGAAGAAGGCCUUCGGGUCGUAAAGCUCUUUUAUGAGGGAAGAUAAUGACGGUACCUCAAGAAAAAGCCCCGGCUAACUACGUG
rnacentral:rRNA from 1 species